rnacentral:rRNA from 1 species
UACGUAGGGUGCAAGCGUUAAUCGGAAUUACUGGGCGUAAAGCGUGCGCAGGCGGUUGUGCAAGACAGAUGUGAAAUCCCCGGGCUCAACCUGGGAAUUGCAUUUGUGACUGCACGGCUAGAGUGUGUCAGAGGGGGGUAGAAUUCCACGUGUAGCAGUGAAAUGCGUAGAGAUGUGGAGGAAUACCGAUGGCGAAGGCAGCCCCCUGGGAUAACGACUGACGCUCAUGCACGAAAGCGUGGGGGAGCAAACAGG